CGGCGGGUGAGUAAUGUCUGGGAAACUGCCCGAUGGAGGGGGAUAACUACUGGAAACGGUAGCUAAUACCGCAUAACGUCGCAAGACCAAAGAGGGGGACCUUGGGCCUCUUGCCAUCGGAUGUGCCCAGAUGGGAUUAGCUAGUAGGUGGGGUAACGGCUCACCUAGGCGACGAUCCCUAGCUGGUCUGAGAGGAUGACCAGCCACACUGGAACUGAGACACGGUCCAG
rnacentral:rRNA from 1 species